GAAAUGCGAUACUUGGUGUGAAUUGCAGAAUCCCGUGAACCAUCGAGUCUUUGAACGCAAGUUGCGCCAUUCAGUCAGUUUAAUGGUUUGCGACGUUCAGGUACUCUUACACUCAAAGGGUUUGUAAACAACGAAUUGUUUAAGGAUUUUGAGCUUGACUCAAUUUCUGAUACACCGAGUUGUUUUGUACUCUUUAAGAUUUUGAUCUCAAAUCAGGCAGGACUACCCGCUGAAUUUAA
rnacentral:misc_RNA from 1 species